rnacentral:rRNA from 1 species
UACGGAGGGUGCAAGCGUUAUCCGGAUUCACUGGGUUUAAAGGGUAGCGUAGGUGGGUUGGUAAGUCAGUGGUGAAAUCUCCGUGCUUAACAUGGAAACUGCCAUUGAUACUACUGAUCUUGAAUUUCAGGAGGUAAGCGGAAUAAUGUCAUGUAGCGGUGAAAUGCUUAGAGUAUGAACAUAGAACACCAAUUGCGAAGGCAGCUUCUACAGGAAUAUUGACACUGAUGCACGAAAGCGUGGGGGAUCAAACAGGG